GAAUCCGUAGCUCAGUUGGUAGAGCAGGGGACUUUUAAUCCUCGGAGCGUCAGUUCGAGUCUGACCGGAUUCA
rnacentral:tRNA from 1 species